AGCCAAACCUGAAACCACAUGAUUUAAGAGCAAUAGUAGUCACACAAUAAUUUCCUUACAAUAAGGUCUGUGUUCCUUUGCAAUCAACAUAAACUUGCAUCAAUUAGAAAGUGUAGCAUGACCAACAUCUGUGGUUGUAUGUUAAAACACUUGUAUAGAAACAGCAAAUUUUAGUGCCGGCUGAGAAGUCACCAGAUUCUCCCUCCAUUGGCAAAUCAUCUUACCAGCAAAACUUCUUUUUCUGGUACUUGGCUUCUUCUUGACUGUCUAUGUAAGCAAGCAAUUCUUCUUGCUUCAUUAAAGCUUCAUGUAAAGCCUUU
rnacentral:misc_RNA from 1 species